AAACGAAAAGAAAGUACAAAGCGUUUAAGUGACACUGUUUUGUUUUUGUUUUAUUGAUUUGGGUUUGAGCCAACAGUUUGAUGCAUGCAUCGGCUUUGAGUUUGUUUGUUUACUUUGACCAUACACUCCCAACACAUAUUUCAUUAGUGGCUCAUUCAAACACUCACCCACUACAACCUUGCGAUCUUCAAGCAAAACGACAACAAAACGUCAGAAGACUGAAAGAUUGCCCCCCGUCUUAUCUGCAUGUCCACUGUGGACAUACACGCAUGCAUUCCAGUGCAUUUGUGAAUGGCCGCCAUUGUUUCCGCUUUCUUUGAGGCAUUGAGCAGCGGAGAAACUUGGCUGCAGUUCACUUGCUACUGAUGAGCCACAAGCGAGCAGAAAUGGACAAAGGAAAGGCUACCUUAUGGAGAUAUUAGGUUCAAAACCAUGGCGAG